CAUGUAUAUAGUUAUUAUUUUCUCUUUAUGUUUUAAAUAUGUUAGUCUGGGAGUUCAUCAUGUACUAUCAAGAGUUGCUUUUACAGUAGAAAUAGACAGAGAUGAAUCCGCAUGCAUUGUCUAUUUGUAUUGCUAAAAUUAUUCUGUAUCACAUCUGUAGAUGCCAUUCUCUGGAAUGCAUGAUGUUGCUCCUUAAUAUUAUCCUUCUCGGGGCAGAAGCUUUAAUGAUUCUGAACCUUAUAUUAACAACAAACAAAGAAGAAAGGGCUCGGUUACCAGAAAACAACCUCCUGAAAAUUUUUACAGCUGACAAAGAGAAAGCCAGUUUGUGGUGCACAAGAGACCACUUAACAAAAAGGAAUUGGCAAUGAAUGAGGAAGACAUAAUAGACACACUUUCCAACUCUGUAACAGUUCAUGAGACUAAGCUCAAGGUUGACAACAUAUGUGGAGAAACAUGAGUUUGUUUUUGAUGCAGUGCUGAAUGAGGAAGUGUCUAAUGAUGAGGCUUUGUGCUCAACUUGGAAGGAUGAUGGGGCGACUGUCUUCUCUUGAGGCUGUGACAAGCAAGCUAAGAUGUGG